ACUGGCAGGCUAGAGUCUUGUAGAGGGGGGUAGAAUUCCAGGUGUAGCGGUGAAAUGCGUAGAGAUCUGGAGGAAUACCGGUGGCGAAGGCGGCCCCCUGGACAAAGACUGACGCUCAGGUGCGAAAGCGUGGGGAGCAAACAGGAUUAGAUACCCUGGUAGUCCACGCCGUAAACGAUGUCGAUUUGGAGGUUGUGCCCUUGAGGCGUGGCUUCCGGAGCUAACGCGUUAAAUCGACCGCCUGGGGAGUACGGCCGCAAGGUUAAAACUCAAAUGAAUUGACGGGGGCCCGCACAAGCGGUGGAGCAUGUGGUUUAAUUCGAUGCAACGCGAAGAACCUUACCUGGUCUUGACAUCCACAGAACUUUCCAGAGAUGGAUUGGUGCCUUCGGGAACUGUGAGACAGGUGCUGCAUGGCUGUCGUCAGCUCGUGUUGUGAAAUGUUGGGUUAAGUCCCGCAACGAGCGCAACCC
rnacentral:rRNA from 2 species